rnacentral:rRNA from 1 species
GACUUGACAUCUCCUGAAUUACUCUUAAUCGAGGAAGUCCCUUCGGGGACAGGAAGACAGGUGGUGCAUGGUUGUCGUCAGCUCGUGUCGUGAGAUGUUGGGUUAAGUCCCGCAACGAGCGCAACCCUUAUUGUUAGUUGCUACUAUUAAGUUAAGCACUCUAACGAGACUGCCGCGGUUAACGUGGAGGAAGGUGGGGAUGACGUCAAAUCAUCAUGCCCCUUAUGUCUAGGGCUACACACGUGCUACAAUGGCUGGUACAACGAGCAGCAAACCCGCGAGGGGGAGCAAAACUUGAAAGCCAGUCCCAGUUCGGAUUGUAGGCUGAAACUCGCCUACAUGAAGUUGGAGUUGCUAGUAAUCGCGAAUCAGCAUGUCGCGGUGAAUACGUUCCCGGGUCUUGUACACACCGCCCGUCACACCAUGAGAGCCGGUAACACCCGAAGCCCGUGAGGUAACCGUAAGGAGCCAGCGGUCGAAGGUGGGAUUGGUGAUUGGGGUGAAGUCGUAACAAGGUAGCCGUAGGAGAACCAGCGGCUGGAUCACCUCCUUUCUAGGGA